rnacentral:rRNA from 1 species
GACGAACGCUGGCGGCGUGCUUAACACAUGCAAGUCGAACGGAAAGGCCCUGCUUUUGUGGGGUGCUCGAGUGGCGAACGGGUGAGUAGCACGUGAGUAACCUGCCCUUGACUUUGGGAUAACUUCAGGAAACUGGGGCUAAUACCGGAUAGGAGCUCCUGCUGCAUGGUGGGGGUUGGAAAGUUUCGGCGGUUGGGGAUGGACUCGCGGCUCAUCAGCUUGUUGGUGGGGUAGUGGCUUACCAAGGCUUUGACGGGUAGCCGGCCUGAGAGGGUGACCGGCAACAUUGGGACUGAGAGACGGCCCAGACGCCUACGGGAGGCAGCAGGGGGGAAUAUUGCACAAUGGGCGGAAGCCUGAUGCAGCAACGCCGCGUGCGGGAUGACGGCCUUCGGGUGGUAAACCGCUUUCGCCUGUGACGAAGCGUGAGUGACGGUAAUGGGUAAAGAAGCACCGGCUAACUACGUG